GUCUUUAGAGGAGAAGGUCUUCAUAGGAGGAGAUCUUUAGAGGAGGAGGUCUUCAUAGGAGGUCUUCAGAGGAGGUCUUCAGAGGAGGUCUUCAGAGGAGGAGGUCUUCAUAGGAGGAGGUCUUCAUAGGAGGAGGUCUUCAUAGGAGGAGGUCUUCAUAGGAGGAGGUCUUCAGAGGAGGAGGUCUUCAGAAGACUGUCUGUUGGCCUAACAGUUGGUGGGAAAUUAAAAUGACCUGCCAGGAUCAAAGGCCAUAAGAAAGCAUGACAAGAAUUUCCCAGGAUACAUUUCAAGGGCGGACAGACGGGACAGUGUAAAUCAUAAAAAAACAACACCAGGUUUUCAUUUAGUCCUAUCAUCACUCAGAUAGACGGAUUUCAGCUCAAAAGUGAGAGGAAAAGAGAAGAAGAAAUGUUUAAUGUUUAAAGUUUAAUGGGCUUGGUAUGUGUUGCAUUAUGGAUAAUGACCAGUGAGGCGAGUGGGGGCCCUUCGAGCGCUGGGAGCUGAGCUCUCUCUCUCUCUCUCUGCAGCCAAAGCAGGGUCCUAGCUGCUCUGUCCAGUCCUCCCGUGCCUCACACCUCUCUUCUGUCUCAUUCUUUCUCCCUCCUAUUCAACUGUUAUCUGGUGUGUUGGCAUUGGUGGUGUUGUUGAUGAUGAGCUGAAACUUUGUGGAUUAAAAUAUCUGUAGAUGUUUAUUUUAGUUAGAGAGCCACUAAAUCCAUACAGUAUAUCAUUUGAUGGUGUGAUUGGUGGACCCAGAAACUGGCA
rnacentral:lncRNA from 1 species